rnacentral:tRNA from 1 species
CGGGCCGUAGUAUACCGGUAGUACGCACGGUUCGGGACCGUGUAGACCGGGUUCGAUUCCCGGCGGCCCGA